rnacentral:rRNA from 1 species
UACGGGGGGGGCAAGCGUUGUUCGGAAUUACUGGGCGUAAAGCGUACCGUCGGUGUCUUGAUAAGUCUUCUGUCCAAGCCUGGGGCUCAACUCCAGAAAGGCAGGGGAAACUAUCAGGAUUGAGGGUGUUCGGGGGAGCUAGAAUUCUCGGUGGAGGGGUGAAAUCCGUAGAUAUCGAGAGGAAUGCCAGCCGCGAAGGCGGGCUCCUAGGACACAUCUGACACUCAGGGACGACAGCUUGGGGAGCAAAAGGG